UGCUGACUUAGGGCACAGUUGGGAAACAGCCUUGAGUAUGUCUGAGAUGGUGAUGACAUGAGACAUCUGAUGGCAGUCCCAGAGAACUUACUUCUGCUUCUGCUUUCCUAAAUGCCUCCAGUGUGUUUCACAAUUUGGUGACUUUCCUUGAAAGUGUCCCUCUACCCAGGAAACAUGUUAAUCUAAAAAGAAAGAGUCAUGGGCCAGCAAUUCAGAGUUCUUCAGCUAAUGUUGACACCCUUCCUUAAUCUACCACCUUCUUCGUGAAUGUUGGAGCCAUGGAAGCCAUGCUUCUUUUGCUGUUUGGCAGAUCUAUGAGAAGGGUUGCCUGAUUGCCUUGCCUGGAGUGGAGUAAGGGCUGAAACUCUACUCAGCUGCUGCUACUUAAUACAUCAAGUAAAAUCUCCUUUCAUAAGAUUUCUAUUCAUUUAAAUUGCUUUAGAGACUUGAAAACACCAACCACAACAGCCUGAAUCUUCCUGCCUCCAUCCCACUCAGACUCAGGAUUUUAGCUUCUACAAAUAAAAUACUUGGGGGCCAAUUGUC
rnacentral:lncRNA from 1 species